CAACUUUUAUUUAUUAAGUUUUUACAAAUAAAGUAACAAAUUUAUUGUAUUGUAGCGCAAAGCGCAAAGUUUUGUUUUUAAUAAGAAGCUUGAACACUCUAUACUUAGUGCAAAACAUACCAUUAAAGGCUGUCGAUGACUCCUUACAUGUAUUUAUUUAUUUUUUGUUAUUCUCUUUCAUUCUUUCAUAUUUGUUUACUUAAAAUCCGACCAUGUUUGAACAACGUCAACCACGAUACAGAAAAAGGAAAGCAAUGAAUUAAAUUAGGAGCUGGUAGAGACAGUAAAACGGCACAGUGAGAAUUCAAAAAAACAAAAUGUGAGAGUGGAGAGAGACAAGAAACAAAAUCGACAUAUUUUCAGCAACGCUCACAGAAACUGUUGCUGUUUUCAACACAUCAUUUCACAGGAGCAAGCUACAUAAAACAGCGAGGAGUUGCAUGUAUCUGUGACUGUGGCUUUGUGUGUGUGUGUGCGCUGAAAGGCAGAAUCUCUUUUAUUGUUGUUUUUCUCUCUCUUUUGUUUGUUUUUUACAUGUGGGCACUUCUACAGUGAAAAGCGUAAAGGGUAAGCGAGUCCUGAAGAGGCGAAAACUGGAAAACACAUCAACAGGAAACUGAUUCUAAUGCAAGCGAGUUCAAACUAUUGCUACACCGUGCACGCCUCUCCUGAAACACACAAUCCUACUUUUCCACUUUAACUCGAGGAAACUUCACAAUAAGAGUGCCUGUGCUGGAAAACUUUCGAGCCUUUCACAGUAAAAUUCCUCCACGACAACUCCAAAACUUCACAAUAACUGCACCCACUUCCAGCAGGGGCAUAGCCGUCAAAACCUACUGUAAUCUCAGUUUGAUAUUGAUAUUAUUAAAGUGACAGUUUUAAUACUGCAUGCAAGGGCAUUGCAGCGCAGCAGGUAUUCCUUUUAUUGUAAUCAUUGCGUAACAGAGAGACAGUAAAAUAUGACCAAACCUCAAAUCUGCAGCUGCAAAGUGCAGAUCCAGGAUGAUACCUGGCAAAUUAAACAGCUCCAGUGAAUUAAUGCAGGUAACUACGCCACUUUUUUUCCUCCACUGACAAAAACAAAAAAUCAAAUGGCACUGAGUUUGUGGCAUCAUUAAAGGUCUGACAGAAUGCUUAUAUUGAGAACUCAGAAGCAAAGUGGCUCAAUGACUAUUCACAGCUUCAACCAAACUUGCCAAGUAGUAAAAAAUGUCGCGUUAUUUUUCUCGAGGAAUAUAACGAAAAAAGAUCUAUGCUCUUUUGCACAAACUUUACAAAGUAACUUACACACAAUCUGGAAAAAAGCAAUGGAAAGAUGCAAAGCUUUGAAGUUUGUACCAAAUGUUUAAUUUGUGUUACAGGUUAAAAAAACAAAACAAAAAAACAGUAGAGGGUGCCAGAGGCCUUGCACGUACUCCCUUAAAUCCAUCAAUCAUCAUGACUGCCAUCAUCUCUGUCAUACCUUCACUCAAAAACUCGUUAAAGCUGACUUUUAUUUGUUGGUUUUUCAAUUUCUGUAAAGACAGCUGACAACUGUGCUGCCUCGUUAAUAUUUUUGCAGAAUUUUUAUGGGUCCUGACAAAGUACUGCCUUGUUUUUCUUUAUUCCUUUCUUUCUUCCAGCUAGUUACUUCCAACUAGUUUAAAAUGUAUCAGAAAAAGAUGAUGUCACAGAGUAUCUAUAUGCACCAAACACUUUUUUGGCUACAUUUUUUUAAAGUUGCAUUUUCAAGUGUUAGGUUGCUGCUUAUUUAGAUAUACCGAACCUUCUUUAGACUCGGUUUGACUAAUGCAUCUAAUGCAUGACCGGAUCACAAGAUUACAGCUGUUGUUUACCGUGUCUGAAAGUGUCCAGCUGACUGCUUGGCUACUUCCUGUAUAUGUGACUUUUGCUAGAUAGUUAAAGGCUAGCAAACAAACACAGAUAAUUCAUUUGUGACUUGCAAAGGAGGCAGAACAAUAGGAAAAAGGACCUAUACUGUACAUCUUGCACUAGUGACAUGCUUUCCUCUGAAGUCCUUGAGGGGGAUGCAUCAGGGCACAACGAUAUUUACACUUCAAAAGAAGUGGCCUGAUGCACUGCAGACUACCUCAGCCUAUCACAGUGUGCCUUGGUGGUCCUUUUUAUAUUUAGUGCCACAUCCACAUGUGAUCUGAUCCCUCCAGAUACAUUUUAACGCCAAGUAUAAACAGAUUUCAGACAUACCUAAACAGGGCCAUUAGCCUGCGCUUCUCACAAUAUUUCAGUAAACCCAAAUUAUUCUGACAGUAGAGCGUGACAUCAUGGCCUAUAUCACAUUCCUGGUUAGCUCUGAUGGUCUCAGAGUUUCAAAUCCUGACAGAAAGCUAAAACGAGUCUUUAAUAUCAGCUGAUCUCACGUUAAAAAGAACAUUAUGUCACUGUACCACGGCAUGCUCUCCCCGCAAGUAUGCUGCACUCGGGUCAAAGUACAGAGUGGUCCAAGCUUCGAAUACAAUCUUCAAUAAACUCCCUCCUUAAAACUGAAGAAAAAAAAUAUAUAUACAGCAAUAGAAACAACACUGAUAACAAACGGUUGCCUUUCUCCGUCUCUGGACGUCAAUCUCAACCUUCGUUCAAACGGCAGCAGAGCAUUUCACUCCAAAUUUCCCCAUUUUGCAAAAAAUACACUCAGGAGGAAUCAUCACAAGCCGGCCUAAACGUGCGCGCACAUAUACACUGCAGGCCUCAUCCGCUAAACUUCACAGCAACAACCUUAUAUCCUCCACAAAUUCUGUCCAAUGUGCUCACUUUAACCUCCAAUGGAGAAGCAACAGGAAGGAAGCAAGGCACUAGUUUAAUACCUCCAGCCAUCACUAGAGGCUCUAGACGGGUCAGGGGGAGCGAAGACAAGCAAAAAUAAAAGACAGGGUUUUUUUUUUUCAAGUACAUUAAAAAUGGACACCAUUGGUUUUUAUACAUUCACAUUCAUCUAACAAAACCAGGGGAGAAAGGGAAGAGGAGGGCUAUUUAAAGUGUCUGAUAGACAAGUACUGUAUUAUGAAAAAAAAUAGCUAGCUUUACUUUAUUAUCUAAAUAUCGACUAUCCUGGCGUUCACGCCGGUUUGUCUUUAUACUCAGGUCAGUUUCGGCUUUCAAUUCACCCAGUUUAUAGAGAUGACCUGAAAAAAACGGAUUGAUUAGUUGUUGGUAAGGCAUUGGUUUGGAAGUGUGUCCUCAGUAAACUGACAGAAGGACGCUUAUUGGAAAAAAAGAGA
ensembl:lncRNA